rnacentral:rRNA from 1 species
CCUACGGGAGGCAGCAGUGAGGAAUAUUGGUCAAUGGACGAGAGUCUGAACCAGCCAAGUCGCGUGAAGGAUGACUGCCCUAUGGGUUGUAAACUUCUUUUAUAUGGGAAUAAAAUGUUCCACGUGUGGGAUUUUGUAUGUACCAUAUGAAUAAGGAUCGGCUAACUCCGUGCCAGCAGCCGCGGUAAUACGGAGGAUCCGAGCGUUAUCCGGAUUUAUUGGGUUUAAAGGGAGCAUAGGUGGAUUGGUAAGUCAGUUGUGAAAGUUUGCGGCUCAACCGUAAAAUUGCAGUUGAAACUGGCAGUCUUGAGGACAGUAGAGGUGGGCGGAAUUCGUGGUGUAGCGGUGAAAUGCUUAGAUAUCACGAAGAACUCCGAUUGCGAAGGCAGUUCACUGGACUGCAACUGACACUGAGGCUCGAAAGUGUGGGUAUCAAACAGGAUUAGAUACCCUUGUAGUC